rnacentral:rRNA from 1 species
UACGUAGGGUGCAAGCGUUGUCCGGAAUUAUUGGGCGUAAAGAGCUUGUAGGCGGUUUGUCGCGUCUGCUGUGAAAUUUCGGGGCUCAACCCCGAACUUGCAGUGGGUACGGGCAAACUAGAGUGUGGUAGGGGAGACUGGAAUUCCUGGUGUAGCGGUGAAAUGCGUAGAUAUCGGGAGGAACACCAGUGGCGAAGGCGACUACCUGGCCUGUUCUUGACGCUGAGGCGCGAAAGCUAGGGGAGCAAACGGGG